CCUACGGGGGGCUGCAGUGGGGAAUAUUGGACAAUGGGGGCAACCCUGAUCCAGCCAUGCCGCGUGUGUGAAGAAGGCCCUCGGGUUGUAAAGUACUUUCAGUGAGGAAGAACGCCUGGUGGUUAAUACCCAUCAGGAAAGACAUCACUCACAGAAGAAGCACCGGCUAACUCCGUGCCAGCAGCCGCGGUAAUACGGAGGGUGCGAGCGUUAAUCGGAAUUACUGGGCGUAAAGCGCGCGUAGGUGGCUUGAUAAGCCGGUUGUGAAAGCCCCGGGCUCAACCUGGGAACGGCAUCCGGAACUGUCAAGCUAGAGUGCAGGAGAGGAAGGUAGAAUUCCCGGUGUAGCGGUGAAAUGCGUAGAGAUCGGGAGGAAUACCAGUGGCGAAGGCGGCCUUCUGGACUGACACUGACACUGAGGUGCGAAAGCGUGGGUAGCAAACAGGAUUAGAUACCCUAGUAGUC
rnacentral:rRNA from 1 species